CGAGAGGUUGGCGCGGGCAGGCGCCCCGCCAACCCGGUCAGGUCCGGAAGGAAGCAGCCGUAACGGGACCCGCUUGGGUCGCUGUCAGCCUCUCACCC
rnacentral:SRP_RNA from 1 species